GCGAUGGUCGAGUGAUGAAUGGA
rnacentral:siRNA from 1 species